GGUAGUCGAUGGGAAACAGGUCAAUAUUCCUGUACCGAUUCUAGAUGCGAUGUGGGGACGGAGAAGGUUAGGUCAGCCGGGUGUUGGACGUCCCGGUUUAAGCGUGUAGGCGUGCCCCUUAGGCAAAUCCGGGGGGCUGAGCUGAGGCGUGAUGACGAGGAACCACGGUUCCGAAGUGAUUGAUACCAAGCUUCCAGGAAAAGCCACUAAGCUUCAGUCUAGAGUUGACCGUACCGCAAACCGACACAGGUGGGCAGGAUGAAAAUUCUAAGGCGCUUGAGGGAACUCAGGAGAAGGAACUCGGCAAAUUAACACCGUAACUUCGGGAGAAGGUGUGCCCCGGUAGCGUGUAGAGACUUGCUCUCGAAGCGCGAUGGGGUUGCAGUGAAAUGGUGGCUGCGACUGUUUAAUAAAAACACAGCACUCUGCAAACACGAAAGUGGACGUAUAGGGUGUGACGCCUGCCCGGUGCCGGAAGGUUAAGUGAUGGGGUGCAAGCUCUUGAUCGAAGCCCCGGUAAACGGCGGCCGUAACAAUAACGGUCCUAAGGUAGCGAAAUUCCUUGUCGGGUAAGUUCCGACCUGCACGAAUGGCGUAACGAUGGCCACACUGUCUCCUCCUGGGACUCAGCGAAGUUGAAAUGUUUGUGAAGAUGCAAUCUACCCGCGGCUAGACGGAAAGACCCCAUGAACCUUUACUGUAGCUUUGCAUUGGACUUUGAACCGGUUUGUGUAGGAUAGGUGGGAGACUGUGAAGCCGGGACGCCAGUUUCGGUGGAGUCAACCUUGAAAUACCACCCUGAUUUGUUUGAGGUUCUAACCUUGGUCCGUGAAUCCGGAUCGGGGACCGUGCAUGGUAGGCAGUUUGACUGGGGCGGUCUCCUCCCAAAAGGUAACGGAGGAGUACGAAGGUACGCUUAGGGCGGUCGGACAUCGCCCACAAAGUGCAAUGGCAAAAGCGUGCUUGACUGCGAGACCCACAAGUCGAGCAGGUACGAAAGUAGGUCAUAGUGAUCCGGUGGUUCUGUAUGGAAGGGCCAUCGCUCAACGGAUAAAAGGUACUCUGGGGAUAACAGGCUAAUUCCUCCCAAGAGUUCAUAUCGACGGGGGAGUUUGGCACCUCGAUGUCGGCUCAUCACAUCCUGGGGCUGUAGUCGGUCCCAAGGGUAUGGCUGUUCGCCAUUUAAAGUGGUACGCGAGCUGGGUUUAAAACGUCGUGAGACAGUUUGGUCCCUAUCUGCCGUGGGCGCUGGAAAUUUGAAGGGGGCUGCUCCUAGUACGAGAGGACCGGAGUGGACGAACCUCUGGUGUACCGGUUAUGACGCCAGUCGUAUCGCCGGGUAGCUAAGUUCGGAAGAGAUAAACGCUGAAAGCAUCUAAGCGUGAAACUCGCCUUAAGAUAAGAUUUCCCGGAGUCUUGAACUCCCUGAAGGGUCGUCGAAGACCACGACGUUGAUAGGUCAGGUGUGGAAGCGCAGCAAUGCGUUAAGCUAACUGAUACUAAUUGCCCGUGCGGCUUGAUCC
rnacentral:rRNA from 1 species